CGGUUGAUCCUGCCGGAGGCUAUUGCUAUCAGGGUUUGACUAAGCCAUGCGAGUCGAGAGGUGAAAGACCUCGGCAUACUGCUCAGUAACACGUGGAUAAUCUGCCCUCAGGUGAGGAAUAAUCCCGGGAAACUGGGGCUAAUGCCUCAUAGGAGACGGGUGCUGGAAUGCUCUGUCUCUGAAAGGUCCGCCGCCUGAGGAUGAGUCUGCGUCCGAUUAGGUUGUUGUUGGGGUAACGGCCCACCAAGCCUUUGAUCGGUACGGGUUGUGAGAGCAAGAGCCCGGAGAUGGAUUCUGAGACAUGAAUCCAGGCCCUACGGGGCGCAGCAGGCGCGAAAACUUUACAAUGCGAGCAAUCGUGAUAAGGAAACCCUGAGUGCCUGUCAAUGCAGGCUGUUCUGGUGUUUAGUCAGCACCAGGAGAAAGGGCGGGGCAAGACCGGUGCCAGCCGCCGCGGUAAUACCGGCUGCUCGAGUGAUAGCCACUUUUACUGGGCUUAAAGCGUUCGUAGCUUGGUCGUUAAGUCUCUGGGGAAAUCUUUUGGCUCAACCAAAAGACGUCUCAGAGAAACUGGCGACCUUGGGACCGGGAGAGGUAAGACGUACUUCGGGGGUAGGAGUGAAAUCUUGUAAUCCCCGAGGGACGACCGAUGGCGAAGGCAUCUUACCAGAACGGCUCCGACAGUGAGGGACGAAAGCUGGGGGAGCAAACCGGAUUAGAUACCCGGGUAGUCCCAGCCGUAAACGAUGUGCGUUAGGUGUGUCAGUGACCACGAGUCACUGAGGUGCCGAAGGGAAACCGUGAAACGCACCGCCUGGGAAGUACGGUCGCAAGGCUGAAACUUAAAGGAAUUGGCGGGGGAGCAC
rnacentral:rRNA from 1 species